GAGGGUAUAGCUCAAGCGCUAGAGCGCGUGCCUAGCAAGCACGAGGUCCUGGGUUCAAUGCCCAGCACCUCCU
rnacentral:tRNA from 1 species